GACGAACGCUGGCGGCGUGCUUAACACAUGCAAGUCGAACGGAAAGGCCCUGCUUUUGUGGGUUGCUCGAGUGGCGAACGGGUGAGUAACACGUUAGUAACCUGCCCUUGACUUUGGGAUAACUUCAGGAAACUGGGGCUAAUACCGGAUAGGAGCUCCUGCUGCAUGGUGGGGGUUGGAAAGUUUCGGCGGUUGGGGAUGGACUCGCGGCUUAUCAGCUUGUUGGUGGGGUAGUGGCUUACCAAGGCUUUGACGGGUAGCCGGCCUGAGAGGGUGACCGGCCACAUUGGGACUGAGAGACGGCCCAGACUCCUACGGGAGGCAGCAGUGGGGAAUAUUGCACAAUGGGCGGAAGCCUGAUGCAGCAACGCCGCGUGCGGGAUGACGGCCUUCGGGUUGUAAACCGCUUUCGCCUGUGACGAAGCGUGAGUGACGGUAAUGGGUAAAGAAGCACCGGCUAACUACGUG
rnacentral:rRNA from 1 species